CAAUAGCGUAUAUUAAAGUUGUUGCGGUUAAAAAGCUCGUAGUUGGAUUUCUGCCGAGGACGACCGGUCCGCCCUCUGGGUGAGCAUCUGGCUCGGCCUGGGCAUCUUCUUGGAGAACGUAUCUGCACUUGACUGUGUGGUGCGGUAUUCAGGACUUUUACUUUGAGGAAAUUAGAGUGUUUCAAGCAGGCACACGCCUUGAAUACAUUAGCAUGGAAUAAUAAGAUAGGACCUCGGUUCUAUUUUGUUGGUUUCUAGAUCUGAGGUAAUGAUUAAUAGGGAUAGUUGGGGGCAUUCGUAUUUAACUGUCAGAGGUGAAGUUCUUGGAUUUGUUAAAGACGGACUACUGCGAAAGCAUUUGCCAAGGAUGUUUUCAUUGA
rnacentral:rRNA from 1 species